rnacentral:rRNA from 1 species
AGCAGCCGCGGUAAUUCCAGCUCCAAUAGCGUAUAUUAAAGUUGUUGCAGUUAAAAAGCUCGUAGUUGAAUUUCGGGGUUAGUAGAUUGGUCGUGCCACUGGUAUGCACUGGUCUCACUGAUUCCUCCUUCCUGAUGAACCGUAAUGCCAUUAAUUUGGUGUUGCGGGGAGACUGGACUGUUACUUUGAAAAAAUUAGAGUGUUUAAAGCAGGCUAACGCUUGAAUACAUUAGCAUGGAAUAAUGAAAUAGGACGUUCGAUCCUAUUUUGUUGGUUUCUAGGAUUGACGUAAUGAUUAAUAGGGAUAGUUGGGGGCAUUAGUAUUCAAUUGUCAGAGGUGAAAUUCUUGGAUUUAUUGAAGACUAACUACUGCGAAAGCAUUUGCCAAGGAUGUUUUCAUUAAUCAAGAACGAAAGUUAGGGGAUCGAAGACGAUCAGAUACCGUCGUAGUCUUAACCAUAAACUAUGCCGACUAGGGAUCGGAUGAUGUUAAUUUUUAAUGACUCAUUCGGCGCCUUAC